rnacentral:rRNA from 1 species
UCGGGAAUUUUGGGCAAUGGGCGCAAGCCUGACCCAGCAACGCCGCGUGAAGGACGAAGUUUUUCGGAAUGUAAACUUCACAAGAAUGGGAAGAAUAAGAAAGAGCUAAUACCUCUUUCGAUGACGGUACCAUUUGUAAGCUCCGGCUAACUCCGUGCCAGCAGCCGCGGUAAUACGGGGGGAGCAAGCGUUGUUCGGAUUUACUGGGCGUAAAGGGCGCGUAGGCGGCACGACAAGUCGCUUGUGAAAUCUCCGGGCUUAACUCGGAGCGGCCAAGCGAUACUGUCGCGCUAGAGUGCGGAAGGGGCAACUGGAAUUCUCGGUGUAGCGGUGAAAUGCGUAGAUAUCGAGAGGAACACCUGCGGCGAAGGCGGGUUGCUGGGCCGACACUGACGCUGAGGCGCGAAAGCUAGGGGAGCGAACGG